UGUGUGUGGUUGGUGGAUGAGAUAAAAACGCAUUCGCACGGAUCCAGUCCUCUGCUCGAGACUUCAUGUAAAUACUCCACAAACGAUCGCGGAGGGACGUCACUCUCACACACACCGCCUACAACUUCCAUAUAUCCACCUGGAAACUAGAUGCAACGAACAUUUGCGCCAAUGAAGGGUGAAGAUGAUGUAAAUACUGCGAGGAAAGAUGAGGAGGCUGAUGGCUCGGGGGAGAAACUCUUGGGUUUCAACAGCACAGAGGAGCAGCCAUCAGGCCCGAGAGGACAAGACAGCAUGUGGCGAAAUGAGAAGUAUGAGACUGUCCCAUUGGAUGUGAAGGGGAUUGAUGAAGACAAUUCUAAAGGCACUAGAGAUUCUCUAUACCCCCAGGCUGCUCUCCGGAAAGCUCAGCAGGGAAAUGAGAGACCAAAGGACCCAAAGCUGUGGCCGUA
rnacentral:lncRNA from 1 species